rnacentral:misc_RNA from 1 species
GUAGGUGAACCUGCGGAAGGAUCAUUACCGAGUUCAUGCCCUUCGGGGUAGAUCUCCCACCCUUUGUAUACUAUACCUUUGUUGCUUUGGCGGGCCGCCUAGCUACUGGCUUCGGCUGGUAAGUGCCCGCCAGAGGACCCAAAACCCUGAAGAUUGUAGUCUGAGUGAAAAUAUAAAUUAUUUAAAACUUUCAACAACGGAUCUCUUGGUUCCG